rnacentral:lncRNA from 1 species
UGAAGCAAUCAAAUGCUGAUUUCCAUUUAAUUAAAUUUCAAGCAAUUUAAACAACAAAGUGGAAAGAUUAAAAGGGGUCAAAGACAAAUAAUAUAGUCACUAAAGCUGUCACAAUCAAAUUGUCAAAAACAACAUACUAUAAAACAUUUUGUAUGCCAACUACUUAGAAUUAGAAGAAUCAACUCAAAAACUAUGUGCCUUGUUAAAAAUACACUUGUAAACGCGUUCAUACUCAAAUUGAAGACCAAUAUAAACUCUUCCUGGCCGAAUAGUCGAGAGGCAUGUAAUCCUUCCAGCUACUUGUAUUGUAGCUGCUGCUGGUGGUACUCCUGCAUAUGAAACGGGAGAUUUUCUUGCAACUAUUUCAAGGUUCGUGAUCCUAAAUUAUUUCAAGGUCUUCAUCAUAAUGGUUGACACAUCUUGAGAUGUUAUCUCUGCGCAAAUACAAAAGAUAUAAAUUUCCGCAACAUAUAGAGAAUAACUAACAGUAUGCAAAAACAAUAUGGCCCGUAUUCUUUCCAUGCACCAGCCAAUAUUUAAUUAUUCGAUAAAAGAUGCUAAGCUAUAGCACAAGGAAUACCAAAGUAAAACAAUACAGAGCUUAGUUCAGUAAAACUAUAGUACUAACCAACCGCACUCUAAAAACAUACCAAACCGCCACAUUCAAACAAUAGCAAGCCUGUAUUUAAGACAGUAAGAUUAAUUCAACCCCAAAUCUCCUUGCUAUCACACAUCAAAUAUUUAGUGUCCCAAACAGACACACAUUUUGUUAAUGAAAGACUAGAUUUGCAUAUUACUUUAAAAUAAAAAAGACCAAACACACCAAUGGGACAAGCAGUAUCAAAGAAAAACUGAAACUAGAUUUUACUAACACGUCUAUUUGAAACUGAAAUUCUGCUACUGGCAGAAUUCUGAAAAACUAAAACCGGAUUUUAAAAUAGCAACAAGUUCUCCGUUCUACCAAUUCUGCUAGCAGCAGUAGCUAGGGCAGUGUACGGUUGGAUAUUUUUGAAAACCUAACCAUAUCCAUUUAUAAACCACUUAUGAAGAUUAGGAUUUAUAAUCAAGUCCAAUUUUUUUGUUUAAAAACAGUUAAAUAACCAAUUAUUUCCCAAAUCCAGUUUUUAAGACCACUUCUAAAAAAUAAAAACCCUAGAUCUUUAGUCUA